rnacentral:tRNA from 1 species
GCCCUGGUGGCAAAGUGUUAAAGUGAUAGACUCCUAACCUAAAGGUUGGUGGUUCGAAACCACCCGCGGCU